CAUUGCGUUGUCUGUUCUUUCGCCUAAAAAGCGAGAGAAGUAAGGGCCGGGUAAGACGGGUGCCAGCCGCCGCGGUAAUACCCGCGGCCCGAGUGGUGCUCAUUAUUAUUGAGCUUAAAGCGUUCGUAGCCGGCCUCGUAAAUCCUUGGGUAAAAAAAGACAGCUCAACUGUUCGAAUUCCGAGGAGACUGCGAGGCUCGGGACCGGGAGAGGUCAGAGGUACUUCGGGGGUAGGGGUAAAAUCCUGUAAUCCUCGAAGGACCACCAGUGGCGAAGGCGUCUGACUAGAACGGAUCCGACGGUGAGGGACGAAGCCCUGGGGCGCAAACGGGAUUAGAUACCCCGGUAGUCCAGGGUGUAAACGCUGCGGUUUUUCAUGACCUUGGGUCCUACGGGGGCGUCCGGUGCCGGAGAGAAAUUGUUAAGCUGGGCGUCUGGUACGGUCGCAAGACUGAAACUUAAAUAGGUUACCCAAGAGCACCGCAACGGGAGGAGAAUCGGUUCAAUUGGAUUCAACAGCCGGGAAGGGCGAAU
rnacentral:rRNA from 1 species